rnacentral:rRNA from 1 species
GACGAACGCUGGCGGCGUGCUUAACACAUGCAAGUCGAACGAAGUGGCGAACGGGUGAGUAACGCGUAAUCAACCUGCCCUUCAGAGGGGGAUAACAGUUGGAAACGACUGCUAAUACCGCAUACUGAAGGAGGGGAUUGCGUCGGAUUAGCUAGUGGGAGGGGUAACGGCCCACCAAGGCGAUGAUCAGUAGCCGGUCUGAGAGGAUGAACGGACACAUGGGGACUGGUACACGGCCCAGACCCCGACGGGGGGCAGCAGGGGGGAGUUUUCCGCAAGGGACGAAAGGCUGACGGAGCAACGCCGCGUGAGGGAUGACGGCCUUCGGGUUUUAAAGCUAUGUUAAUCGGGACGCGGUACCGGAAUAGAAAGCCACGGCUAACUACGUGCCAGCAGCCGCGGUAAUAC